rnacentral:rRNA from 1 species
UUUAAUAUGAGAGUUUGAUCCUGGCUCAGGAUGAACGCUGGCGGCGUGCUUAACACAUGCAAGUCGAACGAAGCACUUUACUUGAUCUCUUCGGAGUGAUUGUUCUGUGACUGAGUGGCGGACGGGUGAG